GGACGCUUCCUUCGGGAAGCGAGCGUACACAGGUGCUGCAUGGCUGUCGUCAGCUCGUGUCGUGAGAUGUUGGGUUAACGUCCCGUAACGAGCGCAACCCUUGUCCUUAGUUACCAGCACGUUAUGGUGGGCACUCUAAGGAGACUGCCGGUGACAAACCGGAGGAAGGUGGGGAUGACGUCAAAUCAUCAUGCCCCUUAUGAUCUGGGCUACACACGUGCUACAAUGGCCGGUACAACGGGCAGCGAAGGAGCGAUCCGGAGCGAAUCCUAAAAAGCCGGUCCCAGUUCGGAUUGCAGGCUGAAACUCGCCUACAUGAAGUUGGAGUUGCUAGUAAUCGCGAAUCAGAAUGUCGCGGUGAAUGCGUUCCCGGGUCUU
rnacentral:rRNA from 1 species